GGGGGCGAAACGGCUUCGACGGGGAUGGUUGAGGUCAAGGUGGCAGGCCGAGGUGCUGCGAGGUCCUCGUAAAACACGCAGCAAACGAAUAAAUGCCAACGAUAAUUACGAAUACGCUCUGGCUGCUUAAUUAAAGCCAGCGUCUUUAUUUUUCCUUGCCUGAGGGAGAAAUAAAGACGGCGGAUAAUUCAGGCUAGCUAGUGGCUUUUGCCCACAAAGCUACUGGUGAAAUAAAAGUGGGCUGGUUUUUGGACGCCUGGUCAGGGGCAAAUCCAAAAACGAGACUUAAAACCUGACCUAAGCCUGUAGAAGCCUUGAACCGAACAUUCUCGGACGUGGGUUCGACUCCCACCGCCUCCACCA
rnacentral:tmRNA from 1 species